UGGGGAAUUUUGGACAAUGGGCGAAAGCCUGAUCCAGCAAUGCCGCGUGUGUGAAGAAGGCCUUCGGGUUGUAAAGCACUUUUGUCCGGAAAGAAAUCCUUGGCUCUAAUACAGUCGGGGGAUGACGGUACCGGAAGAAUAAGCACCGGCUAACUACGUGCCAGCAGCCGCGGUAAUACGUAGGGUGCAAGCGUUAAUCGGAAUUACUGGGCGUAAAGCGUGCGCAGGCGGUUUGCUAAGACCGAUGUGAAAUCCCCGGGCUCAACCUGGGAACUGCAUUGGUGACUGGCAGGCUAGAGUAUGGCAGAGGGGGGUAGAAUUCCACGUGUAGCAGUGAAAUGCGUAGAGAUGUGGAGGAAUACCGAUGGCGAAGGCAGCCCCCUGGGCCAAUACCGACGCUCAUGCACGAAAGCGUGGGGAGCAAAACAGGAUUAGAUACCCCUGGUAGUCCACGCCCUAAAACGAUGUCAACUAGUUGUUGGGGAUUCAUUUCCUUAGUAACGUAGCUAACGCGUGAAGUUGACCGCCUGGGGAGUACGGUCGCAAGAUUAAAACUCAAAUGAAUUGACGGGGUCAUAGCUGUUUCCU
rnacentral:rRNA from 1 species